AGAGUUUGAUCAUGGCUCAGAUUGAACGCUGGCGGCAGGCCUAACACAUGCAAGUCGAACGGUAACAGGAAGCAGCUUGCUGCUUCGCUGACGAGUGGCGGACGGGUGAGUAAUGUCUGGGAAGCUGCCUGAUGGAGGGGGAUAACUACUGGAAACGGUAGCUAAUACCGCAUAAUGUCGCAAGACCAAAGAGGGGGACCUUCGGGCCUCUUGCCAUCGGAUGUGCCCAGAUGGGAUUAGCUUGUUGGUGGGGUAACGGCUCACCAAGGCGACGAUCCCUAGCUGGUCUGAGAGGAUGACCAGCACACUGGAACUGAGACACGGUCCAGACUCCUACGGGAGGCAGCAGUGGGGAAUAUUGCACAAUGGGCGCAAGCCUGAUGCAGCCAUGCCGCGUGUAUGAAGAAGGCCUUCGGGUUGUAAAGUACUUUCAGCGGGGAGGAAGGGAGUAAAGUUAAUACCUUUGCUCAUUGACGUUACCCGCAGAAGAAGCACCGGCUAACUCCGUGCCAGCAGCCGCGGUAAUACGGAGGGUGCAAGCGUUAAUCGGAAUUACUGGGCGUAAAGCGCACGCAGGCGGUUUGUUAAGUCAGAUGUGAAAUCCCCGGGCUCAACCUGGGAACUGCAUCUGAUACUGGCAAGCUUGAGUCUCGUAGAGGGGGGUAGAAUUCCAGGUGUAGCGGUGAAAUGCGUAGAGAUCUGGAGGAAUACCGGUGGCGAAGGCGGCCCCCUGGACGAAGACUGACGCUCAGGUGCGAAAGCGUGGGGAGCAAACAGGAUUAGAUACCCUGGUAGUCCACGCCGUAAACGAUGUCGACUUGGAGGUUGUGCCCUUGAGGCGUGGCUUCCGGAGCUAACGCGUUAAGUCGACCGCCUGGGGAGUACGGCCGCAAGGUUAAAACUCAAAUGAAUUGACGGGGGCCCGCACAAGCGGUGGAGCAUGUGGUUUAAUUCGAUGCAACGCGAAGAACCUUACCUGGUCUUGACAUCCACGGAAGUUUUCAGAGAUGAGAAUGUGCCUUCGGGAACCGUGAGACAGGUGCUGCAUGGCUGUCGUCAGCUCGUGUUGUGAAAUGUUGGGUUAAGUCCCGCAACGAGCGCAACCCUUAUCCUUUGUUGCCAGCGGUCCGGCCGGGAACUCAAAGGAGACUGCCAGUGAUAAACUGGAGGAAGGUGGGGAUGACGUCAAGUCAUCAUGGCCCUUACGACCAGGGCUACACACGUGCUACAAUGGCGCAUACAAAGAGAAGCGACCUCGCGAGAGCAAGCGGACCUCAUAAAGUGCGUCGUAGUCCGGAUUGGAGUCUGCAACUCGACUCCAUGAAGUCGGAAUCGCUAGUAAUCGUGGAUCAGAAUGCCACGGUGAAUACGUUCCCGGGCCUUGUACACACCGCCCGUCACACCAUGGGAGUGGGUUGCAAAAGAAGUAGGUAGCUUAACCUUCGGGAGGGCGCUUACCACUUUGUGAUUCAUGACUGGGGUGAAGUCGGAACAAGGUAACCGUAGGGGAACCUGCGGUUG
rnacentral:rRNA from 1 species